rnacentral:rRNA from 1 species
AUUGAACGCUGGCGGCAUGCCUUACACAUGCAAGUCGAACGGUAACGGGCCUUCGGGUGCCGACGAGUGGCGAACGGGUGAGUAAUACAUCGGAACGUGCCCGAUCGUGGGGGAUAACGAGGCGAAAGCUUUGCUAAUACCGCAUACGAUCUACGGAUGAAAGCAGGGGACCGCAAGGCCUUGCGCGGACGGAGCGGCCGAUGGCAGAUUAGGUAGUUGGUGGGAUAAAAGCUUACCAAGCCGACGAUCUGUAGCUGGUCUGAGAGGAUGAUCAGCCACACUGGGACUGAGACACGGCCCAGACUCCUACGGGAGGCAGCAGUGGGGAAUUUUGGACAAUGGGCGCAAGCCUGAUCCAGCCAUGCCGCGUGCAGGAUGAAGGCCUUCGGGUUGUAAACUGCUUUUGUACGGAAAGAAAAGCCUUCUUUUAAUACAGGAGGGUCAUGACGGUACCGGAAGAAUAAGCACCGGCUAACUACGUG